UCCUACGCCAAGACAAGCCUAUCCUUUUUUUCUUACAACCCAUCUUAGUUUUAGGACAAGAUUCUCUAUAUUUAAGAAAAGCCUAAGUGAGGCCCUAAACAAAGGAGAAGAAAGUUCUAAAGGAGAGGUUGAAGAAGUCUAGAGGAGUCCUUGAGAGGGUGAAGUCAGAUUCCUGAAGAAAUCUGACUGGCAUGAGGCUAGUCAAAUUCUAGGGGCUAGAAUUCUUGAAGCA
rnacentral:lncRNA from 1 species